rnacentral:rRNA from 1 species
UACGUAGGUGACAAGCGUUGUUCGGAUUUACUGGGCGUAAAGGGCGCGUAGGCGGCUUAACAAGUCACUUGUGAAAUCUCCGGGCUUAACUCGGAACGGCCAAGUGAAACUGUCAAGCUAGAGUGCAGAAGGGGCAAUCGGAAUUCUUGGUGUAGCGGUGAAAUGCGCAGAUAUCAGGAGGAACACCGGUGGCGAAGGCGGAUCUCUGGGCCUUACCUGACGCUCAGGCACGAAAGCUAGGGGAGCGAACAGG